GUGAGGAAUUUUGCGCAAUGGGGGCAACCCUGACGCAGCGACGCCGCGUGGAGGACGAAGUCUUUCGGGAUGUAAACUCCUGUCAGUGGGGACGAUAACGACGGUACCCACAGAGGAAGCACCGGCUAACUCCGUGCCAGCAGCCGCGGUAAGACGGAGGGUGCAAGCGUUGAUCGGAAUUACUGGGCGUAAAGCGUAUGUAGGCGGCAAGUUAAGUUCAAUGUUAAAGCCCACGGCUCAACCGCGGAGAUGCAUUGAAUACUGGCUAGCUAGAGGGUGUUGGAGGGAGACGGAAUUCCCAGUGUAGCGGUGAAAUGCGUAGAUAUUGGGAGGAACAUCGGUAGCGAAAGCGGUCUUCUGGGACAUACCUGACGCUGAGGUACGAAAGCGUGGGGAGCAAACGGGAUUAGAUACCCGAGUAGUCC
rnacentral:rRNA from 1 species